rnacentral:rRNA from 1 species
GUGAGUAGUUCAGAGUUUGAUCCUGGCUCAGGACGAACGCUGGCGGCGUGCCUAACACAUGCAAGUCGAGCGGGGAGGAGGAAGCUUGCUUCCGAAUCCUAGCGGCGGACGGGUGAGUAACGCGUGAGCAACCUGCCUUGAACUGGGGGAUAACGCAUCGAAAGAUGUGCUAAUACCGCGUAAGACCACAGUACCGCAUGGUACAGGGGUCAAAGGAGCAAUCCGGUUUAAGAUGGGCUCGCGUCCGAUUAGCUAGUUGGUGAGAUAACAGCCCACCAAGGCAACGAUCGGUAGCCGACCUGAGAGGGUGAUCGGCCACAUUGGAACUGAGACACGGUCCAG